rnacentral:rRNA from 2 species
GACAGGUGGUGCAUGGUUGUCGUCAGCUCGUGUCGUGAGAUGUUGGGUUAAGUCCCGCAACGAGCGCGACCCUUGUCUUUAGUUGCCAUCAUUAAGUUGGGCACUCUAAAGAGACUGCCGAUGACAAAUCGGAGGAAGGUGGGGAUGACGUCAAAUCAUCAUGCCCUUUAUGUCCUGGGCUACACACGUGCUACAAUGGUCGGUACAACGAGAAGCAAGCCAGCGAUGGCAAGCAAAUCUCUAAAAGCCGAUCCCAGUUCGGAUUGCAGGCUGCAACUCGCCUGCAUGAAGUCGGAGUUGCUAGUAAUCGCGGAUCAGGAUGCCGCGGUGAAUGCGUUCCCGGGUCUU